UACGUAGGGUGCAAGCGUUGUCCGGAAUUAUUGGGCGUAAAGAGCUCGUAGGCGGCUUGUCGCGUCGACUGUGAAAACCCAUGGCUCAACCAUGGGGCUUGCAGUCGAUACGGGCGGGCUAGAGUUCGGUAGGGGAGACUGGAAUUCCUGGUGUAGCGGUGAAAUGCGCAGAUAUCAGGAGGAACACCGGUGGCGAAGGCGGGUCUCUGGGCAGUAACUGACGCUGAGGAGCGAAAGCGUGGGGGAGCGAACAGG
rnacentral:rRNA from 1 species